rnacentral:rRNA from 1 species
GUAAACGGCGGCCGUAACUAUAACGGUCCUAAGGUAGCGAAAUUCCUUGUCGGGUAAGUUCCGACCUGCACGAAUGGCGUAAUGAUGGCCAGGCUGUCUCCACCCGAGACUCAGUGAAAUUGAACUCGCUGUGAAGAUGCAGUGUACCCGCGGCAAGACGGAAAGACCCCGUGAACCUUUACUAUAGCUUGACACUGAACAUUGAGCCUUGAUGUGUAGGAUAGGUGGGAGGCUUUGAAGUGUGGACGCCAGUCUGCAUGGAGCCGACCUUGAAAUACCACCCUUUAAUGUUUGAUGUUCUAACGUUGACCCGUAAUCCGGGUUGCGGACAGUGUCUGGUGGGUAGUUUGACUGGGGCGGUCUCCUCCUAAAGAGUAACGGAGGAGCACGAAGGUUGGCUAAUCCUGGUCGGACAUCAGGAGGUUAGUGCAAUGGCAUAAGCCAGCUUGACUGCGAGCGUGACGGCGCGAGCAGGUGCGAAAGCAGGUCAUAGUGAUCCGGUGGUUCUGAAUGGAAGGGCCAUCGCUCAACGGAUAAAAGGUACUCCGGGGAUAACAGGCUGAUACCGCCCAAGAGUUCAUAUCGACGGCGGUGUUUGGCACCUCGAUGUCGGCUCAUCACAUCCUGGGGCUGAAGUAGGUCCCAAGGGUAUGGCUGUUCGCCAUUUAAAGUGGUACGCGAGCUGGGUUUAGAACGUCGUGAGACAGUUCGGUCCCUAUCUGCCGUGGGCGCUGGAGAACUGAGGGGGGCUGCUCCUAGUACGAGAGGACCGGAGUGGACGCAUCACUGGUGUUCGGGUUGUCAUGCCAAUGGCACUGCCCGGUAGCUAAAUGCGGAAGAGAUAAGUGCUGAAAGCAUCUAAGCACGAAACUUGCCCCGAGAUGAGUUCUCCCUGAC